rnacentral:rRNA from 1 species
AUAAGAGGUCCAGCCUGCCCAGUGACAUAGUUCAACGGCCGCGGUAUCCUAACCGUGCGAAGGUAGCGUAAUCACUUACCCUUUAAAUGAGGGCUAGUAUGAAUGGCAUCACGAGAGUUAUACUGUCUCCUUUUUCUAAUCAGUGAAACUAAUCUCUCCGUGAAGAGGCGGGGAUAAAAUUAUAAGACGAGAAGACCCUAUGGAGCUUUAAAUAACACAACAUUUAUUAUCUCACCUCUAAUUUCAGAAAUUUACCCCCUCAUGAUAAUAUUAUGGUUGUUAAUUUUCGGUUGGGGUGACCACGGAGUAAAAACUAACCUCCACGUUGAAUAGGGACUUCCCCUUAACAAAAAGCUACAACUUUAUGUAUCAACAAAUUGACAUUAAUUGACCCAUCAUUUGAUCAACGAACCAAGUUACCCUAGGGAUAACAGCGCCAUCCACUUCAAGAGCUCAUAUCGACAAGUGGGUUUACGACCUCGAUGUUGGAUCAGGG